rnacentral:rRNA from 1 species
CAGCAGCCACGGGAAUACGGAGGAUCCAAGCGUUAUCCGGAAUCAUUGGGUUUAAAGGGUCCGUAGGCGGUCUUGUAAGUCAAUGGUGAAAGCCCAUCGCUCAACGGUGGAACGGCCAUUGAUACUGCAGGACUUGAAUUAUUGGGAAGUAACUAGAAUAUGUAGUGUAGCGGUGAAAUGCUUAGAGAUUACAUGGAAUACCAAUUGCGAAGGCAGGUUACUACCAAUUGAUUGACGCUGAUGGACGAAAGCGUGGGUAGCGAACAGGAUUAGAUACCCCGGUAGUCCCUGUCUCUUAUAC